rnacentral:rRNA from 1 species
GACGAACGCUGGCGGCGUGCUUAACACAUGCAAGUCGAACGGAAAGGCCUGCUUUCCCUUGUGGAUUGCGGGUACUCGAGUGGCGAACGGGUGAGUAACACGUGAGUGAUCUGCCCCCAACUUGGGUAUAAGCCUGGGAAACUGGGUCUAAUUCCCGAUAGGACUGCAGGGUGGUGCCUGUGGUGGAAAACGAUUUUCUAGUGGUUGGGGAUGAGCUCGCGGCCUAUCAGCUUGUUGGUGGGGUAAUGGCCUACCAAGGCGGCGACGGGUAGCCGGCCUGGGGGGGGGGCCGGGCAAAUGGGGACUGGGAAAGGGCCCAAACCCCGACGGGAGGCGGCAGUGGGGAAUAUUGCCCAAUGGGGGGAACCCUGAUGCGGCGACGCCGGGUGGGGGAGGCCGGCCUUGGGGUUGUAAACCCCUUUCGACCGCGAGGAAGCCACCUGGUUGGAAGGUUGGUGAGGGAAGGUGUAAAAGAAGCACCGGCAAACUACUU